GGGGAUUUAGCUCAGUGGUAGAGCGCAUGCCUAGCAAGCACAAGGCCCUGGGUUCGGUCCCCAGCUCUG
rnacentral:tRNA from 1 species